GGAGUCCCUGCUCCCCCCUUUGUCUCUCCCCUCCCCCAUCACCUCCGGCCCAGCCACGUGCUGUUACACAGCACGAGGCAGGGCCACGAUCCAUCCCAAAUAAACCUCAUCCCCCAAGAGCAACCAACAGAGAUCUCUCGCAUAUAUUCACCCCAAAUCCGUCCGUGGAACCCAUCGAACGUCUUUACAGACUGGUGCCCAACUUCGGAUACGACUCCACGGUGACCUGCAACCACACCCAUCUGGAUGCCUUUCCAGCUUUUCUACCUGUAGGACACUUUUCCGUGGACAGUAACUAAAUGACCAGGUAUUUCCUCCCCAUUGGUGUCAUGAGCACGGCAUUUGGUUGCUAGGCAGCUCCGAAGCCGGAGCUCUUUAAAAAUUGCUGAGGCAAUCCUCGAGCACCGCGACUCAUUACCAAGUAGCGGGUCUUCGGAGCCCUUGGAGGAUUCCUGCCCGUUAUAUCUCCGAGCACAGGCGACCACCGCGAUUCGGCGGCGACCUAAAGCUCUGCAAGGAGACUUGCCGUGGCACGCUGCCACGUGCACAGAGCACAGGCGAGCACUGCUUUGCACUGAAGCUCUGAGGGGGGUUUGGAGCUCCCGAGCACCGGAAGCCGUCCCUGAGUGACGCCCAACACCGUAGCUCUGAGGAGACCCCCGCAGAGGAUCCUCAGCACCGACUGGAGUGUACGUCGGAACCCGACAGAGGACCCCACUUGUGCGACACCGAGGUCAAGGACUCAAGUUGGUCCCAGGAAAGAAUGUGAAACCCUACCAUGCACCAAAAUCCGCUGGUACCCCCAGCCCAGGCAGUACUUCUGCAAGUACAAGCCAAGAAGCCAGCACCCAGACCUGAACUGGGCUGCGUCAUCAAGAGAAAAUGACCUGCCAGAAACAGCUUGAGAGAAAAAUGGACUUUUAUCGUUUA